UGGAGGGAACAAAAAAUAGACAUAACUCAUGAGGUGGAUGAUAUGUGGAACAUAUUGAUGUUCCACAAACUGAUGAAUCAGAGACAAUCAAUCACUGUGACAUAGAAAACCAGGACACAACAGACAUGGGACACACAGGUAUUGAGGGCCUUGACCCUCUCUUCUCUGGAGGCAAUGCUCAGGACACUCGAGUAUCAACACAUAGGAGAUGAAAAUAAUCACAGGAUCCAGCAUAGAUAUAAGGACUACAAGGACCACUGGAUACAGUUGAUUGAAGUUAUUACCAUAGAAAUGCAGUUCCACGUUCAAGGUAUCACUCCAAAUGUAUAUUCUCAGAAUUCUUUCUUAUAGAAAAGGAAAUUUGGGCACGCAGAAAGACACCAGGGGAAAAAACAUGUGGAGACACAGGGAGAAGAUGGCCAUCUCCAAGCCAAGGAGAGAGGCUUCAGAAGAAACCAACACUGUUGCCAGCUUGAACCUGAAUUUUUAGCUUCCA